AGAGUUUGAUCCUGGCUCAGGACGAACGCUGGCGGCGCGCCUAAUACAUGCAAGUCGAGCGGGGAAGUGGAUGGAAACCUUCGGGUGGAAAUUCGUAUUCCUAGCGGCGGACGGGUGAGUAACACGUGGGCAACCUGCCUGUCAGACCGGGAUAACACUGGGAAACCGGUGCUAAUACCGGAUACGCUUUCUUGGGCGCAUGCCUGGGGAAGGAAAGGCGCUCUGGCGUCACUGACAGAUGGGCCUGCGGCGCAUUAGCUGGUUGGUGAGGUAACGGCUCACCAAGGCGAUGAUGCGUAGCCGACCUGAGAGGGUGGCCGGCCACACUGGGACUGAGACACGGCCCAGACUCCUACGGGAGGCAGCAGUAGGGAAUCUUCCGCAAUGGGCGAAAGCCUGACGGAGCGACGCCGCGUGAGUGAGGAAGGCCUUCGGGUUGUAAAACUCUGUUGUGAGGGAAGAAGUUCCUGGAGAGGGAAUGCUCCGGGGGUGACGGUACCUCACGAGGAAGCCCCGGCUAACUACGUGCCAGCAGCCGCGGUAAUAC
rnacentral:rRNA from 1 species